GAAAUGCGAUAAGUAAUGUGAAUUGCAGAAUUCAGUGAAUCAUCGAAUCUUUGAACGCACAUUGCGCCCGCCAGCAUUCUGGCGGGCAUGCCUGUUCGAGCGUCAUUUCAACCCUCGAGCCCCCCCGGGGGCCUCGGUGUUGGGGGACGGCACACCAGCCGCCCCCGAAAUGCAGUGGCGACCCCGCCGCAGCCUCCCCUGCGUAGUAGCACACACCUCGCACCGGAGCGCGGAGGCGGUCACGCCGUAAAACGCCCAACUUUCUUAGAGUUGACCCCGGAUCAGGUAGGAAUACCCGCUGAACUUAAGC
rnacentral:misc_RNA from 1 species